GGACUACUAGGGUAUCUAAUCCUGUUUGCUCCCCACGCUUUCGUGUCUCAGUGUCAGUUCAGGCCCAGACGGUUGCUUUCGCCAUCGGUAUUCCUCCCGAUCUCUACGCAUUUCACCGCUACACCGGGAAUUCUGCCGUCCUCUACCGAACUCUAGCCACGCAGUAUCGACUGACAUUCCCGGGUUGAGCCCAGGGCUUUCACAACCGACUUACGCGGCCACCUACACACGCUUUACGCCCAGUAAAUCCGAUUAACGCUCGCACCCUCUGUAUUACCGCGGCUGCUGGCAC
rnacentral:rRNA from 2 species